GGAAUCUUCCACAAUGGACGAAAGUCUGAUGGAGCAACGCCGCGUGAGUGAUGAAGGCCUUCGGGUCGUAAAACUCUGUUGUUAGGGAAGAACCAGUACCGUUCGAAUAGGGCGGUACCUUGACGGUACCUAACCAGAAAGCCACGGCGAACUACGUGCCAGCAGCCGCGGUAAUACGUAGGUGGCAAGCGUUGUCCGGAAUUAUUGGGCGUAAAGCGCGCGCAGGCGGUCCGUUAAGUCUGAUGUGAAAGCCCACGGCUCAACCGUGGAGGGUCAUUGGAAACUGGGGGACUUGAGUGCAGAAGAGAAGAGCGGAAUUCCACGUGUAGCGGUGAAAUGCGUAGAGAUGUGGAGGAACACCAGUGGCGAAGGCGGCUCUUUGGUCUGUAACUGACGCUGAGGCGCGAAAGCGUGGGGAGCAAAC
rnacentral:rRNA from 1 species